AAAUCACGUCAGCAUUGGUUGGAUAUAUUGGCUGUUCCUGCAACAUUCAGGAAGGAUGCUGCAAAAUGGAUUUUUUUUUAACACCACAUAUUAGAAACAUCUCUAAAUGCAAGUGACACCGUAAUAAAUUCACUUUUAACACUUAGAACCACAUGCUAAUCACUUUAGCCUACGUUAGCUCAACUGUCCGGGGGGGGGGACACACCGAUCCCAUAGAGGUUUUAAUAAGUUCACUUUUAACACUCUUAAUGUGUUUUUGUCCGAUAUGGGAGCUGAAAGCGCUUCAGUGCCGCUAAGGCGCCAGCACUCAGGAGAUGGAGGAGUUGCGCAGCACCCAUUAGAGGAAAUGUCAGGAACUGCAGCGCGACAAUGACAAAUUGUGCAGCGCCAACCAGAGGAAGGUGCAGGAACUGCAGCGGGAAAUCGAGGGCAGCCGGAGGAAGCUCCAGGAGCAGUUUGAGUGGUCGUGAACAGCAGCGCUACUGGAUGUGCUGCGUCAAGAGACUCCAAGACUGCCUGUCAAAGGAGAAGACUGGCUCUGUUUCAGCAGGUGAACCGGUUGGAGAAGGAGGUAGAGGAGUUGAGGUGGAGCUCACAGGGCUCAGAGAGCCACACCCAGAUCCUGUGCUGCCCCCUAGUGGACACUGACAGCCAGCACUGUGACAGAAUUCCCUAAUGGGAAUCAGAUGAGAUGGCUGACCUGCAAACCCAGGUCGACAAAUGGAGAGGGCUGUAUUCGAGGACUUCCCCAGCCAGUUCACACC